GGGCCGACAUAAUUGAUUUACUCGGUGUAAAUGUCAUUUUAUAUGGUAUCAAAGCCAGAUUUUGAGAUUGGUGGUUCAUGUGCUUGUGGCUCUAUAUGAUAGCAGAGCCAUAAGCUUAGAGAGUAGUUGAGUAGUUUAUGGCUUCAAUUAGAUGUAUUUGUAGCACAGUUUUUUUUUAGAACAGUAAUUUAAUCAUUGAUGAUCUUUGUAUCAUAGCUCGACAUGGUUGAAGAGCUUUCAGUAAUUUAUUUUACGGUGGUGCAAGUGUAUGGACUUUUGCUUGAUGAUUCAAGUAGUGAAUUAUUAUGAUCGAUGCUAUUAUCAUCUCUAUCAAUGAGUUUGAAU
rnacentral:lncRNA from 1 species